AUAUCAAUAAGCGGAGGAAAAGAAACCAACAGGGAUUGCCCCAGUAACGGCGAGUGAAGCGGCAACAGCUCAAAUUUGAAAUCUGGCCCCUAGGGCCCGAGUUGUAAUUUGUAGAGGAUGCUUUUGGUGCGGUGCCGCCCGAGUUCCCUGGAACGGGACGCCACAGAGGGUGAGAGCCCCGUCUGGCUGGCCACCAAGCCUCUGUAAAGCUCCUUCGACGAGUCGAGUAGUUUGGGAAUGCUGCUCAAAAUGGGAGGUAUAUGUCUUCUAAAGCUAAAUACCGGCCAGAGACCGAUAGCGCACAAGUAGAGUGAUCGAAAGAUGAAAAGCACUUUGAAAAGAGAGUUAAAUAGUACGUGAAAUUGUUGAAAGGGAAGCGCUUGUGACCAGACUUGGGUUUGGCGGAUCAUCCGGCGUUCUCGCCGGUGCACUUCGCCUCGCCCAGGCCAGCAUCAGUUCGUCGCGGGGGAAAAAGGCUUCGGGAACGUGGCUCCUCCGGGAGUGUUAUAGCCCGCUGCGUAAUACCCUGCGGUGGACUGAGGACCGCGCAUCUGCAAGGAUGCUGGCGUAAUGGUCAUCAGCGACCCGUCUUGAAACACGGACCAAGGAGUCGUCUUCGUAUGCGAGUGUUCGGGUGUCAAACCCCUACGCGUAAUGAAAGUGAACGCAGGUGAGAGCUUCGGCGCAUCAUCGACCGAUCCUGAUGUUCUCGGAUGGAUUUGAGUAAGAGCAUACGGGGCCGGACCCGAAAGAAGGUGAACUAUGCCUGUAUAGGGUGAAGCCAGAGGAAACUCUGGUGGAGGCUCGCAGCGGUUCUGACGUGCAAAUCGAUCGUCAAAUAUGGGCAUGGGGG
rnacentral:rRNA from 1 species